rnacentral:rRNA from 1 species
UCAAGCUAAAAAGGGCGCAAGGUGAAUGCCUUGGCACUGGGAGCCGAUGAAAGACGUGGUAAGCUGCGAAAAGCUUCGGGGAGGAGCAAACAUCCAUUGAUCCGGAGAUAUCUGAAUGGGGCAACCCAAUGGAGUUCAUACUCCAUUAUCCAAUACUGAAUCCAUAGGUAUUGGAAGGGAACCGCCUGAACUGAAACAUCUAAGUAGGGCGAGGAAGAGACAUCAAACGAGAUUCCGUAAGUAGUGGCGAGCGAACGCGGAAGAGGGCAAACCGAGAGGAGAAAUCCUUUCGGGGUACGGACUGCUUUUAGGACUGAAAGAGUUAACAGAAUGGCAUGGGAAGGCCAACCGAAGAGUGUGAGAGUCACGUAAGUAAAAAUUCUGACAGCUGCGCAGGAUCCAGAGUACGGCCAGACACGUGAAACCUGGUCGGAAUAUGGGGGGACCACCCUCCAACCCUAAAUACUACCCAGUGACCGAUAGCGUAUAGUACUGUGAAGGAAAGGUGAAAAGGACCCCGGGAGGGGAGUGAAAGAGAACCUGAAACCUUGUGCCUACAAGCACAUAGAGCCCGUCAAAGGGUGAUAUGGUACUUUUUGUAGAACGGUCCGGCGAGCGAUUGUACGUUGCGAGCUUAAGGUCUUAAGGACUGGAGGCGUAGCGAGAGCGAGUCUAAACAGGGCGUUUAGUAGCGUGCAAUGGGCCCGAAACCGGGUGACCUACCCAUGAUCAGGCUGAAGUGAAAGUAAAAUUUCAUGGAGGGCCGAACCGACCUCCGUUGAAAAGGCGGCGGAUGAAUUGUGGGUAGCGGAGAAAUUCCAAUCGAACUCGGAGAUAGCUGGUUCUCCCCGAAAUAGCUUUAGGGCUAGCCUCAUGUUAGAUAUCCGGAGGUAAAGCACUGAAUGGCCUAGCGUCCGAGAGGAUAGCGAAGCCUAUCAAACUAAGAAUGCCGGAAUAUUGAUGCAUGGGAGUCAGACAGUGUGAGAUAAAUCUCAUUGUCAAAAGGGAAACAGCCCAGAUCUACAGCUAAGGUCCCAAAUUGUAUCUAAGUGGAAAACGAUGUGGAAAUACGCAGACAACCAGGAUGUUGGCUCAGAAGCAGCCACUCAUUUAAAGAGUGCGUAAUAGCUCACUGGUCGAGCGUCUCUGCGCGGAAAAUUUAACGGGGCUAAGAUACAAACCGAAGCUUAGGCUGCACUUUUAGUGCGGGGUAGGGGAGCGUUGUGUAAGCGGAGAAACAGUAGCGAAAGCGGCUGUGGAGUUUACAGAAGUGAGAAUGCCGGAAUGAGUAGCGCGAAUGAUGUGAGAAUCAUCAUGGCCGGAAACCUCAGGUUUUUGGAGGAAGGUUCGUCCGCUCCAAGUUAGGCGGGAGCUAAGGUGAGGCCGAAAGGCGUAGCCGAUGCACAGACGGUAGAGAUUCCGUCCCCACCGAAAGAUUUAAGCGCAGGGACACUUUUAGAAGGUCGGAGCCAGGUGUUGGUUCUGGUAGAGAUCGAGGGAAGAUUAGUACCGAAGUCCGGCUGGAUAAGAGGCGAGAAAAGCUGCGUGUAUAUCUAAGGUGCCCGUACCGCAAACCGACACAGGUAGGUAGGAAGAAGAUUCUAAGGCCAACGGGAGAAGGGUUGUUAAGGAACUCGGCAAGUUGACCCCGUAACUUCGGAAUAAGGGGUGCUCAUGAAAGUGAGCCGCAGAGAAUAGGCCCAGGCAACUGUUUACCAAAAACACAGGUUUGUGCUAAAUCGAAAGAUGACGUAUACGAGCUGACGCCUGCCCGGUGCUGGAAGGUUAAGAGGAGAUGUGCAAGCAUUGAAUCGAAGCCCCAGUGAACGGCGGCCGUAACUAUAACGGUCCUAAGGUAGCGAAAUUCCUUGUCAGGUAAG